GCCGGGGUGGCGGAAUUGGUAGACGCACCAGACUCAAAAUCUGGCGCUGGUAACAGCAUGCGGGUUCGAUUCCCGCCCCCGGCACCA
rnacentral:tRNA from 1 species